GUCUGCAGCCAUGCCACUCUGAACAAGCCCGAUCCCAUCUGAUCUCGGAAACUAAGCAGGGUCAGGCCUGGUUAGUACUUGGAUGGGAGACGGCCUAGGACGACCAGGUGCUGUAGGCA
rfam:Pteropus alecto contig98085, whole genome shotgun sequence.